rnacentral:rRNA from 1 species
GACGAACGCUGGCGGCGUGCUUAACACAUGCAAGUCGAACGGAAAGGCCCUGCGUUUGUGGGGUGCUCGUGUGGCGAACGGGGGAGUAACACGUGAGUAACCUGCCCUUGACUUUGGGAUAACUUCAGGAAACUGGGGCGAAUACCGGAUAGGAUCUCCUGCUGCAUGGUGUGGGUUGGAAAGUUUCGGCGGUUGGGGAUGGACUCGCUGCUUAUCAGCUUGUUGGUGGGGUAGUGGCUUACCAAGGCUUUGACGGGUAGCCGGCCUGAGAGGGUGACCGGCGACAUUGGGACUGAGAUACGGCCCAGACUCCUACGGGAGGCAGAAGUGGGGAAUCUUGCACAAUGGGCGGAAGCUUGAUGCAGAAACGCCGCGUGCGGGAUAACGGCCUUAGGGUUGUAAACCGCUUGCGCAUGUGACGAAGCGUGAGUGAAGGUAAUGGGUACAGAAGCACCGGCUAACUACGUG